rnacentral:lncRNA from 1 species
AUGAUAUCCAUACUGGAGAGAUGUCUUCAUCCAGGUUUUAUUGGGAAUUGUCAAUCAAGGGGACAGGAAGAUGACUAUGGGACAAGAUGGAGGAGGCAUCUUGAUAUUCCUCAUUUCAAUUGUUCACCUGUAUCAUGGGGCUCAAGAAACACUGACAGAAGUUGCCAUGUGCUGCGGCCUGCUGGGGACAUGAAGGAAUGUGGAUCAGGGCAGUCACAACAUCAUCAACCCAAUUCUCCAAGGUAGCUGGCCAAUAAUGCUAUUCUAAUUGAAUAACUUAUCCACAGCGAUUUCCCCGGGGAGAG